AAUGGGUCAGCGACUUAUAUUCUGUAGCAAGGUUAACCGAAUAGGGGAGCCGAAGGGAAACCGAGUCUUAACUGGGCGUUAAGUUGCAGGGUAUAGACCCGAAACCCGGUGAUCUAGCCAUGGGCAGGUUGAAGGUUGGGUAACACUAACUGGAGGACCGAACCGACUAAUGUUGAAAAAUUAGCGGAUGACUUGUGGCUGGGGGUGAAAGGCCAAUCAAACCGGGAGAUAGCUGGUUCUCCCCGAAAGCUAUUUAGGUAGCGCCUCGUGAAUUCAUCUCCGGGGGUAGAGCACUGUUUCGGCAAGGGGGUCAUCCCGACUUACCAACCCGAUGCAAACUGCGAAUACCGGAGAAUGUUAUCACGGGAGACACACGGCGGGUGCUA
rnacentral:rRNA from 1 species